AUUGAACGCUGGCGGCAUGCUUUACACAUGCAAGUCGAACGGUAACAGGCCGCAAGGUGCUGACGAGUGGCGAACGGGUGAGUAAUGCAUCGGAACGUGCCCAGUCGUGGGGGAUAACGCAGCGAAAGCUGUGCUAAUACCGCAUACGAUCUAUGGAUGAAAGCGGGGGACCGUAAGGCCUCGCGCGAUUGGAGCGGCCGAUGUCAGAUUAGGUAGUUGGUGGGGUAAAGGCCUACCAAGCCGACGAUCUGUAGCUGGUCUAAGAGGACGACCAGCCACACUGGGACUGAGACACGGCCCAGACUCCUACGGGAGGCAGCAGUGGGGAAUUUUGGACAAUGGGCGCAAGCCUGAUCCAGCAAUGCCGCGUGCAGGAAGAAGGCCUUCGGGUUGUAAACUGCUUUUGUACGGAACGAAACGGCCUGGGUUAAUACCCUGGGCUAAUGACGGUACCGUAAGAAUAAGCACCGGCUAACUACGUGCCAGCAGCCGCCGUAA
rnacentral:rRNA from 1 species